rnacentral:rRNA from 1 species
UACGUAGGGGGCAAGCGUUGUCCGGAUUUACUGGGCGUAAAGAGCGUGUAGGCGGCCACGCAGGUCCGUUGUGAAAACUGGAGGCUCAACCUCCAGCUGUCGACGGAAACCGUUUGGCUAGAGUCCGGAAGAGGAGAGUGGAAUUCCUGGUGUAGCGGUGAAAUGCGCAGAUAUCAGGAGGAACACCGAUGGCGAAGGCAGGUCUCUGGGCCACUACUGACGCUGAGAAGCGAAAGCAUGGGGAGCGAACAGG